AUUGAACGCUGGCGGCAUGCCUUACACAUGCAAGUCGAACGGUAACGGGCCUUCGGUUGCCGUCGAGUGGCGGACGGGUGCGUAAUACAUCGGAACGUGCCCGAUCGUGGGGGAUAACGAGGCGAAAGCUUUGCUAAUACCGCAUACGAUCUACGGAUGUAAGCAGGGGGCCGCAAGGCCUUGCGCGGGCGGAGCGGCCGCUGGCAGAUUAGGUAGUUGGUGGGUUAAAAGCUUACCAAGCCGACGAUCUGUAGCUGGUCUGAGAGGAUGAUCAGCCACACUGGGACUGAGACACGGCCCAGACUCCUACGGGAGGCAGCAGUGGGGAAUUUUGGACAAUGGGCGCAAGCCUGAUCCAGCCAUGCCGCGUGCAGGAUGAAGGCCUUCGGGUUGUAAACUGCUUUUGUACGGAACGAAAAGCCUUCUUUUAAUACAGGAGGGUCAUGACGGUACCGGAAGAAUAAGCACCGGCUAACUACGUG
rnacentral:rRNA from 1 species